UUACGGCCAUAUCAAGUUGAAACCCCGGUUCCCGUACGAUGAACCAAGUUAAGCAACGUCGAGCCUGGUCAGUUCCUAGAUGGGUGACCGCUUGUGAAUACGAGGUGCUGUCAG